rnacentral:lncRNA from 1 species
GCCAUGCCACAGUGGGCCACAUGGGGAAGCACCAGGGCCAGGCGGGCGGCAGAGGGAGCAGAGAAGCCCUUACCGUGGUUUCCAGGAGAAGGAACAGGAAAACCCGAAGGCCAUCCCAGCAGGAGCCGGGCGUUCAGAGGCUCCUGGUGCCACCGGGCCUCUCGAAGGGUGCUCGUGCCCUCUUCCCAGGCUUGCUCCAUCUUUCUGCUCGGAGUGGGCAUUCCAGACUCGAGCGCCUGCCUUGGUGGGGGUGGGGUGGGCAGCCAGGCGUAAGUGAUCUGCAGGGACUGCGUGCGCAACUAGAGGCGCAACCGGCCCCUUAGCUGAGUGCGCAAGCCCACUGCGCGGGGUGGUGCAUUCUGGCGUCGCUGGGCUGCAGCCUGCCACGCUGGAAAGAGACUGUGACAUCGUCUAAUUCAAUCCGGCGACUUCAGAGGUUUUAAAUGGCCCAGCCAAGGUCAUGCGAUAAGCGAGUGGAAGGACCGGACCUGGGCACUGCGGUGGAGGAGACCAGCUCAAGCAUUUGGAGACAGUCCUGGGUUCGAACCCAGACUCUGACAGUGUCUCAUUUUCGGACCUCAAGCAAGCUGUUUCAACUCCGUGCUUUCGUUUCCUCGUUUCUAAAAUAAAUGAUAGCAGCCCUGCGUCAUGGGGACCCUGGGAGGAUUAACGGAGAUGGUGCAGGCGCAGGGUAAGCUCAGUGACCGGCACUCGGUAAUUGCGGAAGAGGUGCCGCUGUUGUUAUUAGGCCGGCUGAAUAGACGUCGAGCAUAGUCGGGGUGUCUCCCAAGCAAAGACAAAGAGUUCGGCGUAAGGGGUUUACCUGGGAGAUGACCCCAGGAGCAGGAAUGUGGGAACAAGGAGAGUGAGACAGCGAGCGAAGGAGGAAAAUACUCACAUAAGGGUGUGUUAUCAUGGCUGCGGCUGUGGGCAGUGGGAGCCCAAUUCUGCCGGGGGACUUUCCGGAGAAUAUUGUAAAUGCAUCAAAGACUGUAAAAAAGGCCUAAAUAAAUGAAGAGCUGUGGCAUGUCAACUUAUGGGAAAACUCAAUCUGGUCUUAUAAUCAGUGAGGGUUUGAUCAUGAAAACAGAAACCGCACCAGGUACUUUAGCAGGAAAAGGUGUGAGAUGGGAAUUCGAGAUUUCCAUUGGCUUUGGAAAGCCUCCCGAGCAAAGCUCAGAAAGAGCACUUUGGGAAUUCUGAGGCUGCAGAGAUCAGGAGGAAGAAUAUCGCAGCCUGGUGUGUGUGAUGCUCGGGAAGAUGCUAAAGGCUGCAAAACCCGGGAUCUGUGCUCUGCAGUACCCACAGGGGCCUCCAGAGAAUAAAUACCCCAUGUCUUCUUUCCUCACAGCCCCAAGCCGGUGCCUCUGACAGGUGGCCUCUAGCUGGGUCCACAGGCAACGAGUCUGAGAAAUGCAGUUGGCAGGCGUGGGGAUCCUGGGUAUAGGGAAGAGCUGGAGUGGCAAGGCUGGUACUGGCAAUGAACACAUGAUAGCUGGCACAGUCAGAGACGCCCAUCCUCCCCCCAGAUUGAUUCAUCUGUAAAUGCAAUGAGAUGCCAACUAAAUCCUCCAGAAUUAUAAGAUUCAAAAGAAGAAGAAAGAUCCAGGGAUGACCAGGACAAUUUUGAAGAAAAAGAUGGAGGAAGAGAAGCAGGGUGGGGAGGGAGGGUGUGUUGGGGUCCCCAGGACCGCUUCCAGGCUCAAUGAUUCACCAGGAGGACUCAGCAUAGAGUCAUCCUCACAGCCAUGAUUUAUCACAGCGAGAGGACUCAGAGCAGAACCAGCAAAGGGACAAGGCACGUGGGGCAAAGUCCAGAGGAACCAGGCACGAGCUUCUGGAGUCCUCUCCAGGGGAGUCACACAGGACACUCUCAAUUCCUCCAGCCACAAGUUGUGACAACAUAUUUGAAAGUGUUGUUCACUGGGGAAGACCACCAAGACUCAUCACCCAAGGCUUUUAUUGGGGGCUGGUCCUAUAGGUACCCUCUGCCUGGCAUGUGCCAAGAUUCCAGAUUUCUAGAAGAAAAGCAGGAGACCAGCAUCAGCCUUGUUGUUUGUACAAAUGGUUUCUGCACAGUGAGCCACUCUUAUCAGUCCUGGGAAUGGGGGUGCCCCCUCCUGAAACCCAAGUUCCCAGACGUGAGCUGGGGGCCAACCUAGCCAGCAGAACUCUCUGAGGAUGGCAGGCUCCAGCCUGCCGUGUUAACUCUUUUCUGCACAAAGGGGAGCUGACUCUACCAGAUAGCAAAACAUACUGUAACACUAUAUUAAUGAAAACAGUGUGCUGUUGACCCAGGGACAAGAAAUACAUUAAGGAAGAGAAUAGAGAGAGUGCAGAAGUAGACGCCCUCACUCCCGUAUAUAGGUACAAAGCCAGCAUUACAAGUCACUGGAGAAAGAGAGUGUCAUUCAAGAAAUGGUUUUGUAACAAUCGGGCAGCUGUAUAUGAAUAAAUAAAUUUAAAC